rnacentral:rRNA from 1 species
UACGGAGGAUCCGAGCGUUAUCCGGAUUUAUUGGGUUUAAAGGGUGCGUAGGUGGUUUAGUUAAGUCUAGCGGUGAAAGUUUAGUCGAGCUUAACUGUAAAAUAGCCGUUGAAACUGUCGGACUUGAGUGUAAAUGAGGUAGGCGGAAUGCGUGGUGUAGCGGUGAAAUGCAUAGAUAUCACGCAGAACUCCGAUUGCGAAGGCAGCUUACUAAGCUACAACUGACACUGAAGCACGAAAGCGUGGGGAUCAAACAGGAUUAGAUACCCCGGUAGU